rnacentral:rRNA from 1 species
ACGUAGGGGGCAAGCGUUGUCCGGAUUUAUUGGGCGUAAAGAGCGUGUAGGCGGCUAGAUAGGUCCGUUGUGAAAACUCGAGGCUCAACCUCGAGACGUCGAUGGAAACCAUCUGGCUAGAGUCCGGAAGAGGAGAGUGGAAUUCCUGGUGUAGCGGUGAAAUGCGCAGAUAUCAGGAAGAACACCCGUGGCGAAGGCGGCUCUCUGGUACGUGACUGACGCUGAGACGCGAAAGCGUGGGGAGCAAACAGGAUUAGAUACCCUGGUAGUCCACGCCGUAAACGAUGGGUGCUAGGUGUGGGGGGUGUCAACUCCCUCCGUGCCGAAGCUAACGCAUUAAGCACCCCGCCUGGGGAGUACGGCCGCAAGGCUA